AACACCUCACCUGCCGAAUGAAUUAGCCCUGAAAAUGGAUGGCGCUCAAGCGGGUAGCCGACACUGUGCCAUCUGGCCCAAAAAAUAUUAUGUAAGUGACAGAUGAGUAGGAAGGAAACGUAGCGGUCGUAUAGAAGCGUGUGCGCAAGCAUGCGUGGAACGGCCGCUAGUGCAGAUCUUGGUGGUAGUAGCAAAUAUUCAAAUGAGAACCUUGAAGGGCGAAGCGGGGAAGGGUUCCAUGCGAACAUUGAUUGGGCAUGGGUGAGUCGUUCCUAAGCCGUCUGGUAAUUGGCUAGACAUUUCGGCGAAAGGGAAGCAGGUUGAUAUUCCUGCACACGGAUGUGGAAAUGCGGUGACGCACACUGGGGCGGUGAAGCCGUCGGUUGCACUGGGCAGAGAUUUCUUUUCUGUUUGACGGAGCCUGACUGUACACUAUGGAAUCCGCUUGUCGGGAGAAAUAGGUAUGUCACGGCAAAGCGCCGGGUUUUUUUUCUGGCGUCCAGUUUGCGACUGGCGGACCAUGAAAAGCUGUCUGCUGGCAAAACCACUGUGUUUUGUGUGAAAAAUUCCACGCCGUAACGUACCCAUAACCGCAUCAGGUCCCCAAGGUGAACAGCCUCUGCUCGAUAUGAAAAAUGCAGGUGAGGGAAGUCGGCAAAUUGGACCCGUAACUUUGGGAAAAGGGUUGGCUCUAGUGCUGUGUAGGAGUGGUUGCUGGUUGUAGCCGCGAAUUGGGUUGAUUUUUGCCGGAGGUUUGGAAAGAAAAAAAAUGUGCAUUCGUGUGCAUUUUAUGUAUUUUUAAGCCAUCGUGUGGGAAUUACCUGGUUUGUGGUUCCUGGCGACUGCCUACAGCAUGCAGCAAACUAGAACUGCAACGGACAAAGGGAAUCCGACUGUUUAAUUAAAACAAAGCAUU
rnacentral:rRNA from 1 species